rnacentral:rRNA from 1 species
GACGAACGCUGGCGGCGUGCUUAACACAUGCAAGUCGAACGGAAAGGCCCUGCUUUUGUGGGGUGCUCGAGUGGCGAACGGGUGAGUAACACGUGAGUAACCUGCCCUUGACUUUGGGAUAACUUCAGGAAACUGGGGCUAAUACCGGAUAGGAGCUCCUGCUGCAUGGUGGGGGUUGGAAAGUUUCGGCGGUUGGGGAUGGACUCGCGGCUUAUCAGCUUGUUGGUGGGGUAGUGGCUUACCAAGGCUUUGACGGGUAGCCGGCCUGAGAGGGUGACCGGCCACAUUGGGACUGAGAGACGGCCCAGACUCCUACGUGAGGCAGCAGUGGAGAAUAUUGCACAAUGGGCGGAAGCCUGAUGCAGCAACGCCGCGUGCGGGAUGACGGCCUACGAGUUGUAAACCGCUUUCGCCUUUGACGAAGCGUGAGUGACGGUAAUGGGUAAAGAAGCACCGGCUAACUACGUG